rnacentral:rRNA from 1 species
UCAGGACGAACGCUGGCGGCGUGCUUAAUACAUGCAANUCGAGCGGACAGAUGGGAGCUUGNUCCCUGAUGUUAGCGGCGGACGGGUGAGUAACACGUGGGUAACCUGCCUGUAAGACUGGGAUAANUCCGGGAAACCGGGGCUAAUACCGGAUGCUUGUUUGAACCGCAUGGUUCAAACAUAAAAGGUGGCUUCGGCUACCACUUACAGAUGGACCCGCGGCGCAUUAGCUAGUUGGUGAGGUAANGGCUCACCAAGGCAACGAUGCGUAGCCGACCUGAGAGGGUGAUCGGCCACACUGGGACUGAGACACGGCCCAGACUCCUACGGGAGGCAGCAGUAGGGAAUCUUCCGCAAUGGACGAAAGUCUGACGGAGCAACGCCGCGUGAGUGAUGAAGGUUUUCGGAUCGUAAAGCUCUGUUGUUAGGGAAGAACAAGUGCCGUUCAAAUAGGGCGGCACCUUGACGGUACCUAACCAGAAAGCCACGGCUAACUACGUGCCAGCAGCCGCGGUAAUACGUAGGUGGCAAGCGUUGUCCGGAAUUAUUGGGCGUAAAGGGCUCGCAGGCGGUUUCUUAAGUCUGAUGUGAAAGCCCCCGGCUCAACCGGGGAGGGUCAUUGGAAACUGGGGAACUUGAGUGCAGAAGAGGAGAGUGGAAUUCCCACGUGUAGCGGUGAAAUGCGUAGAGAUGUGGAGGAACACCAGUGGCGAAGGCGACUCUCUGGUCUGUAACUGACNCNAAGGAGGGCAAGCGUGGGA